AAGUCGUAACAAGGUUUCCGUAGGUGAACCUGCGGAAGGAUCAUUACAGUAUAUUGAAUUCUUAUUCAUAUCAACCCACACUGUGUACCUUUUAUCUGUUGCUUCCAUGGGACAUGGCUCUGCCACGUCGGCCUUCGGGCUGGUGAGUUCCCAUGGAAGGAAACCCAAUACUCUUUUUAUUUUUGACAUCUGUCUGAAUAGUUUUUAUAAACGUUAAAACUUUCAACAACGGAUCUCUUGGUUCUG
rnacentral:misc_RNA from 1 species